UGCAAGUCGCACGGAAUCAUUUUGGUAGUAAUACUCGAAUGGUUUAGUGGCUCACGGGUGAGUAACACGUGAAUUACAUGCCCUUCAGUGGGGAAUAGCCCAGGGAAACUUGGAUUAAUACCCCAUAGCCUCGCAAGAGUAAAGGUGGCCGCAAGGCUGCCGCUGAAGGAUUGGUUCGCGCCCUAUCAGCUUGUUGGUGAGGUAAUGGCUCACCAAGGCUACGACGGGUACCUGGUCUGAGAGGACGAUCAGGCACACUGGAACUGAGACACGGUCCAGACACCUACGGGUGGCAGCAGUCGAGAAUAAUUCACAAUGGGGGCAACCCUGAUGGUGCAACGCCGCGUGGAGGAUGACGGUCUUCGGAUUGUAAACUCCUGUCAUCUGGGAGAAAAACCUGGCCGUUAAUAGCGGACAGGGUUGAUAGUACCAGAAGAGGAAGGGACGGCUAACUUCGUGCCAGCAGCCGCGGUAAUACGAAGGUCCCAAGCGUUGUUCGGAAUCACUGGGCGUAAAGGGAGCGUAGGCGGCGCGGUGAGUCAGAUGUGAAAUCCCGGGGCUCAACCCCGGAACUGCAUCCGAUACUGCCGUGCUAGAGUAAUGGAGAGGUAGCUGGAAUUAUCGGUGUAGCAGUGAAAUGCGUAGAUAUCGAUAGGAACACUCGUGGCGAAAGCGAGCUACUGGACAUUUACUGACGCUGAGGCUCGAAGGCUAGGGGAGCGAAAGGGAUUAGAUACCCCUGUAGUCCUAGCAGUAAACGGUGCACGCUUGGUGUGAGGGGAUUCGACCCCCCUUGUGCCGGAGCUAACGCGUUAAGCGUGCCGCCUGGGAAGUACGGUCGCAAGACUAAAACUCAAAGAAAUUGAC
rnacentral:rRNA from 1 species